CGUGGGCUUCAUCCACUCUAUGUGCCAGACGGCUCAGAGCUUCUGCGACAGCCCUGGGGAGAAGGGGGGUGCCACACCACCUGCCCUGCUCCUGCUGCUCUCCCGCCUCUGCCUGGACUACGAGACGGCCACCAUCUCCUACAUCCUCACUCUCACUGAUGAACAGUUUCUGGUGCAGGAUCAGUUCCCAGUGACGCCUGUGAGCACACUGUGUGCAGAGGCCAGGGAAACGGCGCGGCGGCUGCUGACCCACUACGUGAAGGUGCAGGGCCUGGUCAUAUCACAGAUGCUGCGCAAGAGCGUGGAGACUCGCGACUGGCUCAGCACUCUGGAGCCUCGGAAUGUGCGGGCCGUCAUGAAGCGGGUGGUGGAGGAUACCACCGCCAUCGACGUGCAGGUGCUGCCCAGGCUGGCCGGGGUAGCCCUGACGCAGGCUGGGGGUACUGUCCCUUCAAGAGGGGCUGGGGCAGCAGAGGAUCACUAGCAGUCCCUGCCUGGAGGAGGGGACAUGUGUAUCUGGGCUUCUCACGGGGCCAGUUCUGUAGCCAGGGCGUCCGUGAGGGAACCCCAGGGGAACAAGUCUCCAAGGAUGAAGACCAAAGGGGCUGGGGAGUGCCUAUGUCCACGGUCUUGUUCCUCCUCAGCCCAGGAUUAUGACAUCUUCGCCCCUAUUUUACCUGUGGAGAAGCAGAGGCUCAGGGUUACCCAGGAAGUCAGGGCAGGGUUGGUGCUGGUGCUGAAGAUUAGACCUCAGACCAACUCUUGUAUCCUGCCUUUGCCCCACUCCACUGGUUCUAUAAAUAGCGACCAUGUACCUACUAAAUAGCGGGCCCCGCGGUGAUUACCCUGUGAUCCUUGUGAUGCUUGAGUAGCUGACUUAGGGCAUCCUCAGCACCGAUGGGCUGGUGGUUUCCCCUGACUCGGGGCUCCUUGCAGUACCUCUUUUUACCACCAGGUGGGGCUCCUGUACGAAGAGGGUGUUCGCAAGGCCCAGAGCAGCGACUCCAGCAAGAGGACCUUCUCCGUGUACAGCAGCUCUCGGCAGCAGGGCCGCUACGCCCCCAGCUAUACCCCCAGUGCCCCGAUGGACACCAACCUCUUGAGCAAUAUCCAGAAGCUAUUCUCUGAACGUAUUGAUGUGUUCAGCCCUGUGGAGUUCAACAAGGUGUCGGUGCUGACCGGCAUCAUCAAGAUCAGCCUGAAGACGCUGCUGGAGUGUGUGCGGCUGCGCACCUUUGGGCGCUUCGGGCUGCAGCAGGUGCAAGUGGACUGCCACUUUCUGCAGCUCUACCUGUGGCGUUUUGUGGCCGACGAAGAACUCGUGCACUUGCUGCUGGACGAAGUGGUGGCCUCUGCUGCCCUGCGCUGCCCAGACCCUGUGCCCAUGGAGCCCAGUGUGGUCGAGGUCAUCUGCGAGCGCGGCUAGGCGCAGCCGCUGCCAUGCACCUGUCUGUCCCUGCACCCCAUGGCACCCAGGAUCUGGUCUCGGUGGUCCUUCCCCGC
rnacentral:sRNA from 1 species